AGAGUUUGAUCCUGGCUCAGGAUGAACGCUGGCGGCGUGCUUAACACAUGCAAGUCGAACGAUGAUCCCAGCUCGCUGGGGGAUUAGUGGCGAACGGGUGAGUAACACGUGAGUAACCUGCCCUUAACUCUGGGAUAAGCCUGGGAAACUGGGUCUAAUACCGGAUAUGACUCCUCAUCGCAUGGUGGGGGGUGGAAAGCUUUAUUGUGGUUUUGGAUGGACUCGCGGCCUAUCAGCUCGUUGGUGAGGUAAUGGCUCACCAAGGCGACGACGGGUAGCCGGCCUGAGAGGGUGACCGGCCACACUGGGACUGAGACACGGCCCAGACUCCUACGGGAGGCAGCAGUGGGGAAUAUUGCACAAUGGGCGAAAGCCUGAUGCAGCGACGCCGCGUGAGGGAUGACGGCCUUCGGGUUGUAAACCUCUUUCAGUAGGGAAGAAGCGAAAGUGACGGUACCUGCAUA
rnacentral:rRNA from 1 species